rnacentral:rRNA from 1 species
UGAGGAAUAUUGGUCAAUGGGCGCAAGCCUGAACCAGCCAUCCCGCGUGCAGGAUGACGGCCCUAUGGGUUGUAAACUGCUUUUAUACAGGAAGAAAAAUCCCUACGUGUAGGGACUUGCCGGUACUGUAUGAAUAAGCAUCGGCUAACUCCGUGCCAGCAGCCGCGGUAAUACGGAGGAUGCAAGCGUUAUCCGGAUUCAUUGGGUUUAAAGGGUGCGUAGGCGGCUUUUUAAGUCAGUGGUGAAAUCCUGUCGCUCAACGAUAGAAUUGCCAUUGAUACUGAAAAGCUUGAGUUCAGUUGAGGUAAGCGGAAUGUGUAGUGUAGCGGUGAAAUGCUUAGAUAUUACACAGAACACCGAUUGCGAAGGCAGCUUACAAACUGACACUGACGCUGAUGCA